GAGCAGUGAUGACACCCAACAUGCCAUCUGAGUCCUUGUGCUGAAAUCCAGAGGCUGUUUCUGAGCUG
rnacentral:snoRNA from 1 species